rnacentral:lncRNA from 1 species
UUUCCCCUCUGUCUUUCUUCGUUAAUCGUACUUUGUGACUUAUCGGGACUCGCGAUUAGCACGUUAGCGUGUCCUUUAUAUUAUUUAGUUAACGUGACGGGAAUCGAUCGUGCGUUACCGCGGUCGCGCGUGCACGUUCGCGUGAAACGGAAAGUCGUAGCCGUCGUUGCAUUUUUCCGCACCGUGAAAUCGGGGACGCGUCUCUACGCUGACGCAAUGCGUCAUCUCGCGAUGAGUCAAGGGGAAAAAGGGGCCUUCGGCAAUCCUCGACGCAAUAAAAAAAAAUAUCGCGAGCCCGUUUCAACGAAGAGGACGUGCCGUAUGUGACGUUUACUCCGAAAAUAUGCACGAAGGAUGCAACGGACGAGCGGCGAUGCGGCGAAGGAGACGCGGCUGAUCGAAUGAUCGCAUCGAGCACGAAUGAUGUUAUCGAACAAAAAGGGGGGAGUCCAGUACAGAUUGCGGAGAAGUGUGCAUGUAUAAUUAUUUAUGAGAUAAUUGCCUGCUAUCGGUCACCAAAUUUAAUCCGCAAAAUUGAGAAAUCUAACGCCGCGCUGUAAUUAUCGUGUUAUCUAGGUAAUUGGGUAACCUUCUUAACUUCUUCGUCUCCUCCGUCUAUAACUUGACGAUACAUUCGUCUUACGUGAGGACGAAGCAACCCAUUUCCGGAAACCGGUUGGCCUUUUGUCGGCUCUCUCGCGUCGUCCGGCGAGAGGAAGGACGAGUUUUCACCGCGUUGUCCGUCGACGUUCGCGCGAGACCACCGUUUGUCGCAAAUUUUACAUUCACAAGUUGAACGGCAAAUGGGGAGGAAAGAGCGCGGGAUCCAUCUUCAUCUUCAUCCCGAAAUAACCCCCCGGCACGACACGGUGCACCAUAAAUAUGACGAGCGUGUUUGCGAGGAUUAUCGUUGUGCAUGCUGGAAAUAAAAUGCGACAGCCAGUUCGCUCACGUGGCGCCUUUUCGAUCGGGUCGUUACGAUGAGCGAUUUCCGGCCAUGUUACGUGGCCGCACGAAGCCCGCAUAGUAAAAGCGCUUUCAUCUUAUGAUAAUGAAAGGAAGGCAGGCGCACGAUGUGCGCCACGAAACAUUUCCUGUCUGUGUUCCUAUUCGCCUCGUCGACGAAAGGUACUGUUAGGAUUUUCACGCCGCGAGGAUUCAACCUGGCUUGCAAUUAGUUGCAAUGGGUGCCAGCCACGGUCACGAAGUCCGCGGGAGCUCAUCUUUUAAAUAUCUACCCGAUUGUUGAAUGAUAAUCAAAGGAGUAGGAUGACAAACGAAUGAAACUAAACUUUCGCUAAAUCGAGUACAAAUCAGAAAUCAAGGCGCAAGAGAUGACACACAGAUUUCGGGCAGGAGUAACACGAGGUUGAUAAAUUGGCCGAGAAGCGUGAAGGCACCGACCUUACGUUGAUUUCUCACCGAAUCCUCGUCGGGAAGAGAAACCGGUUAGCCGGUUCGGAUUCGGAUCGACCUUGAGCCUUGGUCAUCCCCGGUACCUGAAGUUCAGGGCUCUCUCAAGGUGUUGUCCGCCGGCAGUAGCGAGUCUUAAUAAGCUCCGCUCGCGGACCCGAGACGACGACGAGAGAGCGAGGAUGAGGGAGGAGGACGAAGCGCGAGAGACGGAGAGAGAAAGAGGGAGAAUGUACGCGGUGUGUAAUAAUAAACCGGCAGCGGAGGAGCGACGGAAGACGGGAGGACGGUAAAAAAGAAGACGUGGAAAAAGCACGGGGGAAGGACCCGCGAGUCGAUUUAACGGCGAACUUAAGCGCCGCGAUCUAUUUUCGGUAGGCGCGCUCCUCCGAGCUCGGCGUGCGUAAAAGUCGCGUCCGCUACGUAGGUGGACUGUGAGUUUUCAGGACUAUUGGACAGCCUCAUGCCGGAACCUGCUUGAAAAUACCGAGAAAAACGAGAGUGUGUACAAUCAAAAGGAGAAACCAAUAAGAGCAAGCUAGGAGGGAUCAGUGCACGAAAAAGAAAGAAAAUGGAAAAGUCUCUAAGCCCCUCGCAGACUUUCUAACGCGCGCGUUCGUUCGCGUUUCGCGCGUGGUGUAAAAAGGAAAAACGAGUUUGCCGCUUUUUUUCGAAUCGCCUCGCUCACUUGAUCACUCCAUUUACUUGACCUGACCCGACGUUUUACGCGCAAACGUAAUAUUCGCGUUAACUCGCCCUGACAUUUCACGCUUGGCGAAUCUACGGUCGCGCGUGUCGCCGCUCGCGCUAAUUAACGGGCCGUGCGCGAAUUGCGUAACGACAGGAAUCGCACGAAAAAGCCGGUUGGCGCGAGACUUGGUAUCCGAAAACCCGGACCGAGCUCAAAAUGUGGAACGAGCUGCUGCCGCUCUUUCCCCCUCUCGCCUCUGCAGAGCGAUGUUUCCGCGAUUGAAAACGUCGAACGUCGACGUGUAAACGCGGAGUUGAAUUUCCGGAUAAUAUCGGAUCGCGUUACGACAACUCGAUACCGCGUGAUGGACGACUUGUAGAAAUUAUUCACGCAUCAGCGGCUUUCGACGGCGCGAUAUUUCGGUAUGCGACGCGCGAGCGCCAAUCGGAGAUCAGAUUGAAUCGGCGAGUGCUUUCGCUCGGGCUAUCUCGACUUUCGCUACGAAAAAUUUCUACGAAGUCCAUGCGAGAGAGGAGUACAUUUUCAUUUGUCGGCUCGACGACGACGAAAAGCGACACCGUGCCCGACGGCGACAACGUCGAAGUUCCGGACAGCCGACGGAAAGCCGAGGGCAGGAUCAAGAUACAGCGGAUAGAGCAAUUACAGUUUCCACCGUUCGGAGAAGCAUAACUCUCGCUCGCUCUUUUUCCCCGCGAGCGCAUCCGUUUCUAUCCGCUCUUGCGAUCUCACGCCACUGAAUACGCACUUUCUGGGAAACAAACGCUCUCGGCCUGCAAUUACUCGCGUGCCAGUUUUCGCGAUGUCGAGCCGCGCCGACGUGCGUGUUGCGAUACGCGAACUUCAGCUUCGGCGACCUGACGCGUACCUGACAUGUGCGUAUCGACUGCUGAAAUUGGGGAGCUGUUGCAAAAUACCGUCUCUCAGAUACGGUAAAUGUAAAUCGUGAAUGCUAUCGGUCGCGUACAUUGCGACCGAUUAUUAAGCGAGCGAAUAACGUUCACGAUUUACGUUUACCGUAUCUGAGAGAGAGAGAGAGAGAGAGAGAGAGAGACUCGGUAUUCCGGCAAAAACUCCCCCUAUUCCCUUCUUUUGCGAAACAUUGUUAGGAUAGAGGCGGAAGAGGAUUUCGCUCGCGAAUGUUUACGAGGUCUUCGUUUCGACAGCAACGGAGCAACUUGACUUAUACCCGCCCUCCCGCGUUUUUCGUUUGAUUUGAUUUUCCGAACCAAUCGUGUGUCGCUUUUCGCGCCGUCUCUGCAAGUCCGUUUGUAAAGGAUACGAAUUUCAACCUCGCCUCGUUUUAUUCCGUUCUAUUGCGCAACGUUAUGGUGAACGAUCUGUUAUACGGAUCGGAGGUGUCACGCGCGUACGAGUGCUCGCGAAAGUGGUUGAUAUUAAGUCGUCGAAUGCGGGACGCCGCGGCUUCACAUCGAUUUUGCGUUAAGAUGAUAUUUUUUUCACACGAUGCUUUCUAUGAUCGCCGUGAUUGCCUUGUAAAAAGAGGGCUCUCGCUUUCUCUCGUUUCCUUUUCGAGUCUCCUCUCUGUGCGAGGAGGGGCGCGUUGAUAGAAAUCCGGGGGUCCCACGAACACCGGGACGCGGGUACACCCACCGACGACAACAAUGCCUCGACCGAAUUCCUGCUUUUGUUUCAGCCUUCGACGUCGCUUUCCCGGAAGAUAAUUCAGCGUUCCUACAAUCAGCAUCUGCGCGGAUUCCCGGCCCGAUCGCGCCGGGUUUUACGACUUCUCACUUUGCUCGUAAUUUCUGUCUCAACCCGCGAAAUCCGGAAGAUAAGCGCGGAGUGUCGACGAUAAUCGCGUUAUUGCGUAACGAAUACGAACAAAGGGAUGAUAAAAGUGUCAUAAGACAUAAAUUAUAAACAAUUUACAAAGCGCGAAGAUGCAUAUGCAUAUUGGUACAUAUAGAUAUUUUGU